rnacentral:rRNA from 1 species
CCUACGGGUGGCAGCAGUGGGGAAUAUUGGACAAUGGGCGCAAGUCUGAUGCAGCAACGCCGCGUGAAUGAUGCAGGGUUUCGGCUCGUAAACUUCUGUCAACAGGGACGAAAACAAUGACGGUACCUCAAUAAGAAGCCCCGGCUAACUACGUGCCAGCAGCCGCGGUAAUACGUAGGUGGCAAGCGUUAUCCGGAAUUACUGGGCGUAAAGGGUGAGUAGGCGGCUUGGUAAGUCGGAUGUGUAAUACUGGGGCUUAACCUCAGGGUUGCAUCUAAAACUAUUAGGCUAGAGUACAGGAGAGGAAAGCGGAAUUCCUAGUGUAGCGGUGGAAUGCGUAGAUAUUAGGAAGAACAUCAGGGGCGAAGGCGACUUACUGGACUGAAACUGACACUGAGGCACGAAAGCGUGGGGAGCGAACAGGAUUAGAUACCCCAGUAGUC